rnacentral:lncRNA from 1 species
AAUUUGGAUCUAAAUUCGAACACGACGGAUUUUGAAAAUUCAUAUCCAAAAUCCGAACUUGACUAAAAUUUCAAAGCCGAAAACCAAAAUAAGUAUUUCUCUUUACUAUAUUCAAAAUAUAUUAUAUUAAAAUCUAAAAUUUUAAAAUACAAGUAUAAAUAUAAUGUCAAACAUUCAUCUCUCUCUAUAUAUAAUAUAAAAUUAAUUUGGGUAUUAUAUACUUCUGUAGAGUCGGGCUAUGGUGCUUUUAAAAGCACCAAACACUUAGUGCUUGUUAUUUCGCCGAUAGAUUUACAUCAUUGACUAUUUUCAUCUAUUAGAUCAUACUAUUAAACCAACCAUCCACUCAACCCUAAAAUACUAUUAUCAUCCUAACCGCACAUCCCUUAAUCAAAGGGCCGGAACCCUACAAGCACCAAUGACUUAAUACUUUUAAAAACAAAGCUUCUGAAUGAUAAAGCUUCCGAAUUGAUGAUAUUCGUACUCAUAAGUCAUUUUCAAUGAUAAAGCUUUUAAAUCGACGAUCUAUACCGUUAAAUAUGAUUUAACAUAUUUAAACUUCUAAAAGUAAAAUUUUAUAAUUGUUUGACAUUAUUUAUCUUACGAUCAAAAGAUCUUAAAAUUGACAAUUUUUAAUGGCCGAUAUGAAAUAUUUGCUAAUUUAACGGUAUAAAAAAAUAGGAAUUGAUUGAGUUUUUGAUAGAAAAUUUUAUUCACUAUCUAAAUAAAAGAUCAAUGACUUUGAUCUUAAAUUGAAGAAUCCGUACAUCUAUUCUUAUGAGAUCGUUCAAUUUUGAUAAAUCUGAUACAUCUAUUCUUAUGAGAUCGUUCAAUUUUGACUAUUCAUUUUAUGCCCCCUUGAUGGACUUUAUAUAUAAUUUUAAAAAAUUACGAAAUUUAUUUUCUAAAAGUUUUAAAUGCGCUAGAUCAUAUUUAACGGUAUGUAUCGUCAAUUCAAAAGUUCCAUUAUAAAAAAUAAAUAUUUUUAUAAGUACAAAGGAUUCUCUACUCAUAUGAGUAUAGUAGCCUCUCUCUCUCUCUCUCUCUCUCUCUCUCUCUAAAAUUAAUUUGGGUUCCGGUCUAGUUCGGAUUUGGGUCAGGUAGGGACAGAAUUCAUAUCCAAAUUCAAAUUUGUCGAGUUUUCGUUCCUUAUACCCAUUUCCGGAAUCAUAUCCGUUUAGUAUCAGAUAAAUCUGUCCUGUUCAGCAAGCUGUAUGGCCGUGCUAUGUCAAUCUAAAAGCCCAGCGCAACAUGGAUCGAUGGGCUGUUCUGGGCCACCAAUUCCCUUGCAUAGCGAAAGCUCUAUGCGAGGCGAUUGCAGCUAAAAUUAGAAGCAAAAGUUGACUCGCAAUGAGCACUCUUUCGCUUCAGAGAUAUGUUGGGCUAAGUUGACGUCCAACCUAUGAGUUAUAAAAGGGUCUUCAGAGAAAUUAUCUGUAACGAUCAAGCCCACCAACAUUAAUAACUCAUUAGGUCUAAAAUAUGGGCUCAAAUAUUAGGAUGUUACAAACUCUUCCUGUUUAGACGCUGACAUUCUUGUCGACACAAUCACACAGAGCCUAAAACCACUGGGCAGAUACGAGACCUAUCUCACACUUCCGGUUGGGAUGUAUUUGUUUCAUCGAAAGUAGAGGGUGAAAUAGUUUUUAACCAUAAAUGCACACUUCAUUUUAAACAUCGGUUUUUUACGGAACAAAUAAUGGGCCUUUAAUCCUUCAAACUAUGUUUUUAUAAAUACCAUGGUCCAUAUAUUUAAUUUAGACCAAUUUUAUUUCCUAUUGGACCACAAAUUAAGGCCCGACCAAAUCAUUGGAAGGGUGCAAGAAUUAUGAAGUGACUCAAAUAAAUAGUGGUGAAAACGGAUAAAUUCGGUUGGGUUUUUGCCAAAACCAUAUCCGCAUUCGUAUAUGCUAAAAACGGAUUCGGAUUCAGAUAUGAGUCGAAUUUGUAUUUAAAUAUUAUUCGAAUAAUAUUAUAUGCUAAUAUGUUACCGAUUGUUUCCAGCACAAGUGGCAGAGGGCUUGGUGGUUGGUAUUUGGGGUCCUAAGUUCGAAUCCUAAUUGAUUCACAUUUCUAACUAAGUUUAUUUCUACAAGAAAUAAAAUGAAGUGAGUAUCAUUCUUACCUUUCUCUUUAAAAAAAAAAAGCUAAUAUAUAAAUAUGAACUAAAAUUAACUUGAAUAAAGCACAUAGUGCAAUUAAAGAUUCAGACUCGUGUUCAAACUUCGUAUACUUAUAUUUUAUUUAAUAAAAUAUAAUAUUUUAACAAAUAUAAAGGCAAUUUUAAUAUAAUUUUUUUGGUAAAAUAAAUGAAGAAUAUCGUAAAUCACUUUGUCCUCCUAUAAUAGAUAUUAUCAUCUCUCUUAUUUCUUAGGGAUGAAAAUAGUCGAAUACAAUCAGAUUUUUUAAGCAAUCAUAUUCGUAUUCAUAUUUUUUCUUUAUUUUUUAUGCGAAUUUGGAUACAAAUAUGUGUGGAGUGCUAAAUUUUGAUAUUUAUAUUCGGAUAUGUCGUAUUCGAUGUCAUAUUCAACAGAGUUUAUCUUAAUACUCUUACCCUUUCAAAUAGAAUGUGUGUUAUAUAAUGGAGGGUCCCACUUGUUGCCCUAUCUGGUAUAAGUGGUAGAAAAAUAUUAUGUUUAUUUCUGCAUAUAAUAUCUCGUUUUUUAUAAUAAAUUAAUUGAUAUAUUUUUUUAUAAUUUUAUGGAAAAUUACAAAAGUAUAU